rnacentral:rRNA from 1 species
AUGGAAGGAGAGGCGGAGAUGGAAGGGGAGGCGAGGGGAAAGAGAGGCGGCGGAAAGGUGAGGAUCAUCGAGGCACCACCCAGGAUCUCCAUGGAGGCUGUGAAUGGAGCCAUGGGGAGCGACGAGUUGCCGGAGAGGAUUUCCACUUCAGGAGAUACAGAAUUAGAGAUUGAGCAAGCCAAGGAGAUGGGAGAGGAAGCCGAGGAGAGGGAUGAGGUGGCAAAAUUGGAGAUUGAGGAAGCUGAGGGGAUGGAGGAGAAGAUGCAGACUGGGAUGUUCUUUACUAUCUACUGUCGCGCCUUGGAAUCGAAUUUGUCCAGGUUGUUUAGCAGUCCCUGCAAAGAUGCGACUUCAUUGAGUCCUAUGCACUUCACACACAGUACAACGGACCGCACCUCUUAUGCUGAAUUCGCCACCAGCACUCUGCAAAUAUACUCCAUUAAAGUCGCAGAAAUAAAGGGCACUCCUGAGUUGAAGUGGCCACUGCGUGUGUAUGGCAUGAAUCCUUUUUUGCAAUUGACUGGCCCGUCUCGUGCAAUUGCGGCUAUAGAUCCUGUUGACUUUGACAUUAAACUCAAAGUAAAGGGCAGGAUGAAGUCAAAAGAUAGAGUGCUCAUGCAUCAGACCUCCAAGUACAGCUGUAAUGAGGCCAUUCUGUUGGAUGACUCCUGCAGAAUUGUGUUACGGUGUGCGAAACUGGAGAAGACAGUGCAAGCAACUAUAGUCGGUGUCCGUGUUAUUAAUUGGAGAAAGAAGAAAUGGCCUUUUAGACAUGGUGGUCUAGUCAUUGCCAAGGCACAUUCUAAGCCCGUUAAACCUCAGAAUGAGGUCCUGCUACAAGAUCAAGUGAUGGAUAACAUUUCAGAUGGUUACUUUCAAGGUGAAGUUAGUUGUGUUGGCGACAGAUCUUCGGCGCUGAAACAUGAAGAUGAGGUUGUGCUUCAAGGUCAAGUGACAGCUAACAACUGGGAUGGUUGUCUUGAUCUGUCAAGGCACGUUGUUUCCGUAGAGUUAGAUGGAAAGCUCGAAGUCAUCAUCCGUGCCCUGUCUUCAAAUGGUUUUGUUACUAAACAUGGCCAUGUCUUCUUUCCAGCCCAGGAAAGCAAAAUAAGUCGGGGCAUAUGUGAUCUUGCCUCCUAUAAGGUGGAAGUCGCUGUUGCUUGGUCCCUUCUUGUUCGAGACAAGCAGUUUAUCUCGAGGGAGGGAUGUUUGACUCUUUUUUUUAGCCACUCUGUUUUUACUCCUGAAUACUACAUGGGUGCAAGAACAGUUCUCAUCCCAAGUCACUCCCAUCUACCUUACGAAGCAUUUUUGGAUUACACGGCACUAGCCAGUGAGGACCUCUGCAGAAUGGUGUUGCUGCCUCCCAGCAUACCAUCAACGAGAUCAAUUGCCGAUAUCAAACAGACAAUGACAAGUCAGUCUCCGUCCCUAGUGGAUGCUUCAACCCUGUGA